rnacentral:rRNA from 1 species
CCUACGGGUGGCAGCAGUAGGGAAUCUUCCACAAUGGGCGAAAGCCUGACGGAGCAACGCCGCGUGGGUGAAGAAGGUCUUCGGAUCGUAAAACUCUGUUGUCAGAGAAGAAAGUGCGUUAGAGUAACUGUUCACGUUUUGACGGUAUCUAACCAGCACGCAACGGCUAACUACGUGCCAGCAGCCGCGGUAAUACGGAGGUUGCAAGCGUUAUCCGGAAUUAUUGGGCGUAAAGGGAACGCAGGCGGUCUUUUAAGUCUGAUGUGAAAGCCUUCGGCUUAACCGGAGUAGUGCAUUGGAAACUGGGAGACUGGAGUGCAGAAGAGGAGAGUGGAACUCCAGGUGUAGCGGUGAAAUGCGUAGAUAUAUGGAGGAACACCAGUGGCGAAGGCGGCUCUCUGGUCUGUAACUGACGCUGAGGUGCGAAAGCGUGGGUAGCAAACAGGAUUAGAUACCCCAGUAGUC